CAAAGAUUGAGGUUAGUGAUUUAAAUUGAAAAUUCUAGUUCAAUGCUUAUGUUUCUAGCAAAAUUAACUUAGAAUUAAAGUGAAAAUUUAAACAAAACAAUUAUGGGGGAUUAAUGGUAAAUUUUGGCCAGCCUAUAGGGAGGUAGAAAUUGCUUGAGUUUGAUGAAAUUAAAGAGAUAGAGAAGUUGAAUUAAGUAUGUAGAUUAAGAUUAUGCACUUUAAUUUCAUUAGUUGCAUGAAUUACACAAUUAGGGUUCUUGAGAUCUUGAAAUUGGGAGAAAAAUUGAAGGAAAUGGUCAAUUGAUGCAAUUGACCCUAAUUGAGGUUAGAAAUGGUCAAUUGGGACCAAUUGUGAUGUGUUGGAAUUGGUAGAAACUAAAUGCAAUUCGGAUUGGUUAGGGGUCCCAACCUGGCAGUUUGACCUAGGUCCCUU
rnacentral:misc_RNA from 1 species